GGCCAGGUGGCUCAGUUGGUUAGAGCAUGGUCCCAUACACCAAAAGGUUGUGGGUUCGAUUCCUGGUCAGGUCA
rfam:Myotis lucifugus cont2.25089, whole genome shotgun sequence.